AUGGCUCAGGACGAACGCUGGCGGCGUGCCUAAUACAUGCAAGUCGAACGGUCUUUCUAUGGAAGCUUGCUUCCACUGAGAAGAUAGUGGCGAACGGGUGAGUAACACGUGGGUAACCUGCCCAUAAGAGGGGGGAUAACAUCCGGAAACGGGUGCUAAUACCGCAUAGUUUCUUGAUUGCAUGAUCGGGAAAGGAAAGACGGCCUUUGUGCUGUCGCUUAUGGAUGGACCCGCGGCGUAUUAGUUAGUUGGUGAGGUAACGGCUCACCAAGACGAUGAUACGUAGCCGACCUGAGAGGGUGAUCGGCCACAUUGGGACUGAGACACGGCCCAAACUCCUACGGGAGGCAGCAGUAGGGAAUCUUCCGCAAUGGACGAAAGUCUGACGGAGCAACGCCGCGUGAGUGAAGAAAGGUUUUCGGAUCGUAAAACUCUGUUGUCAGAGAAGAACAAGUUGGAGAGUAACUGCUCCAGCCUUGACGGUAUCUGACCAGAAAGCCACGGCUAACUACGUGCCAGCCGCAGC
rnacentral:rRNA from 1 species